GGAUGCGAGGGAGAUCUAGCUGUGACAUCAAUCCUCAGGGCUAACUCAGCUUCUCUGGGGGUGAAGCAAGGGUCCCCCUACUUCUCUCACAACUCCAUGUGUGCUUGCCAAAGCUGCAUGCUCAGUUGAAGAUGACAACCUUCUCCUGUAGAAGAUGUUCUUCAUUAAAGCACGGCUCACUAGCUGCCCUUCCCCACUAGAACCUGCAAACAAACUCACAAAUCCUAGUAGGAAACAGAAUCGGCAGUGAGGCCCCUUCAAAUCACAGAUUAAUGACUCAGGAACAGAGAGUCUUUUG
rnacentral:snRNA from 1 species